rnacentral:rRNA from 1 species
AUGAACAUCUUAGCUUGGAACUGUCGAGGGUUGGGGUUGGACUCGACAGUUGGCGAACUGAGAGACCUGAUACGGUCCUACAACCCAGCGGUGGUGUUCUUGUCGGAAACAAAGAAGAAAUCGGCUCCGAUGGAAAAAUUGAAGUGGUCAUUAGGGUUCCGACAAGGGGUGGCGGUAAGCUUUGUGGGGAGAAGUGGCGGUCUAGCACUAUGGUGGCGAGAUGACAUGGAGGUCUCGGUAAGGCCUUGGUGCCAGUACUUUAUCGACGCUGCUAUAACUUUCGAGAGCAGGACCUUUAGAUUCACUGGAAUCUACGGGGAGCCUAAAAAACUGAGUUGA